rnacentral:rRNA from 1 species
AUAUCCCAUAGCGUAAGCUAGUAAGGUCCCCGGAAGACUACCGGGUUGAUAGGCUGCGUGUGUAAGGGCGGUGACGUCCUCAGCUUGGCAGUACUAAUAGACCGAGGGCUUAUCCUU